rnacentral:rRNA from 1 species
UACGUAGGGGGCAAGCGUUGUCCGGAUUUAUUGGGCGUAAAGAGCGUGUAGGCGGUCUGGUAGGUCCGUUGUGAAAACUCGAGGCUCAACCUCGAGGCGCCGAUGGAAACCCUCAGACUAGAGUCCGGAAGAGGAGAGUGGAAUUCCUGGUGUAGCGGUGAAAUGCGCAGAUAUCAGGAAGAACACCCGUGGCUAAGGCGGCUCUCUAGUACGGUACUGACGCUGAGACGCGAAAGCGUGGGGAGCGAACAGG